CAGCCGCCGCGGUAAUACGUAGGGUCCGAGCGUUGUCCGGAAUUAUUGGGCGUAAAGGGCUCGUAGGCGGUUUGUUGCGUCGGGAGUGAAAACCAGGGGCUUAACUUCUGGCUUGCUUUCGAUACGGGCAGACUUGAGGCAUGCAGGGGAGAACGGAAUUCCUGGUGUAGCGGUGAAAUGCGCAGAUAUCAGGGGGAACACCGGUGGCGAAGGCGGUUCUCUGGGCAUGUUCUGACGCUGAGGAGCGAAAGUGUGGGGAGCGAACAGGAUUAGAUACCCCUGUAGUCCCUGUCUCUUAUAC
rnacentral:rRNA from 1 species